AGAUUGAACGCUGACGGCAGGCCUAACACAUGCAAGUCGAGCGGUAGAGAGGUGCUUGCACCUCUUGAGAGCGGCGGACGGGUGAGUAAUGCCUAGGAAUCUGCCUAGUGGUGGGGGAUAACGUUCGGAAACGGACGCUAAUACCGCAUACGUCCUACGGGAGAAAGCGGGGGACCUUCGGGCCUCGCGCCAUUAGAUGAGCCUAGGUCGGAUUAGCUAGUUGGUGAGGUAAUGGCUCACCAAGGCGACGAUCCGUAACUGGUCUGAGAGGAUGAUCAGUCACACUGGAACUGAGACACGGUCCAGACUCCUACGGGAGGCAGCAGUGGGGAAUAUUGGACAAUGGGCGAAAGCCUGAUCCAGCCAUGCCGCGUGUGUGAAGAAGGUCUUCGGAUUGUAAAGCACUUUAAGUGGAGGAAGGUUGUAACUUAAUACGUUGACUAAUUUGACGUUACCGACAGAAUAAGCACCGGCUAACUUCGUGCCAGCAGCCG
rnacentral:rRNA from 1 species